rnacentral:rRNA from 1 species
CCUACGGGAGGCAGCAGUGGGGAAUAUUGGACAAUGGGGGGAACCCUGAUCCAGCCAUGCCGCGUGUGUGAAGAAGGCCCUCGGGUUGUAAAGCACUUUCAGUGAGGAAGAACGCCUGGUGGUUAAUACCCAUCAGGAAAGACAUCACUCACAGAAGAAGCACCGGCUAACUCCGUGCCAGCAGCCGCGGUAAUACGGAGGGUGCGAGCGUUAAUCGGAAUUACUGGGCGUAAAGCGCGCGUAGGUGGCUUGAUAAGCCGGUUGUGAAAGCCCCGGGCUCAACCUGGGAACGGCAUCCGGAACUGUCAAGCUAGAGUGCAGGAGAGGAAGGUAGAAUUCCCGGUGUAGCGGUGAAAUGCAUAGAGAUCGGGAGGAAUACCAGUGGCGAAGGCGGCCUUCUGGACUGACACUGACACUGAGGUGCGAAAGCGUGGGUAGCAAACAGGAUUAGAUACCCUGGUAGUC